UACAGGGGGUGCAAACGUUGCUCGGAAUCAUUGGGCGUAAAGCGCACGUAGGCGGUUCGUUAUGUCGGAUGUGAAAGCCCUUGGCUUAACCGAGGAAGUGCAUCCGAAACUGGCGAGCUAGAGUACUAAAGAGGAUCGCGGAAUUCCCGGUGUAGAGGUGAAAUUCGUAGAUAUCGGGAGGAACACCGGUGGCGAAGGCGGCGAUCUGGGUAGAUACUGACGCUGAGGUGCGAAAGCGUGGGGAGCGAACGGG
rnacentral:rRNA from 1 species